rnacentral:rRNA from 1 species
UACGGAGGGUGCAAGCGUUAUCCGGAUUCACUGGGUUUAAAGGGUGCGUAGGCGGGCAGGUAAGUCAGUGGUGAAAUCUCCGGGCUCAACCCGGAAACUGCCAUUGAUACUAUCAGUCUUGAAUAUCGUGGAGGUAAGCGGAAUAUGUCAUGUAGCGGUGAAAUGCUUAGAUAUGACAUAGAACACCAAUUGCGAAGGCAGCUUACUACCCGAAUAUUGACACUGAGGCACGAAAGCGUGGGGAUCAAACAGG